AUUACGAGCUAUGCUUAAAACCCAAAGGACUUGACGGUGUCCCACCCACCUAGAGGAGCCUGUUCUAUAAUCGAUGAAUCCCCGAUACACCUAACCAUUCCUCGCCCAUCAGUCUGUAUACCUCCGUCGAAAGCCUACCAUGUGAACGUUACAGUAGGCCAAUGAUCCUCAUCAACACGUCAGGUCAAGGUCCAGCUUACGGAAUGGAAAGCAAUGGGCUACAAUUUCUAGUUUAGAACAAACGAAAGACUCUGUGAAACCUUAGUCAUGAAGGCGGAUUUAGUAGUAAAAGGAAAAUAGAGUGUUCCUUUUAACCUGGCUCUGGGACGCGUACACACCGCCCGUCACCCUCUUCGAUAGCACUUCACCCAGGUAUUUAACCCAAUACCGCAUCUUAGAAGAGGCAAGUCGUAACACGGUAA
rnacentral:rRNA from 1 species